rnacentral:rRNA from 1 species
CAGUCGAGCGGAACGAUCCUAGCUUGCUAGGAGGCGUCGAGCGGCGGACGGGUGAGUAAUGCAUAGGAAUCUGCCCGGUAGUGGGGGAUAACCUGAGGAAACUCAGGCUAAUACCGCAUACGUCCUACGGGAGAAAGCAGGGGCUCUUCGGACCUUGCGCUAUCGGAUGAGCUUAUGUCGGAUUAGCUGGUUGGUGAGGUAACGGCUCACCAAGGCGACGAUCCGUAGCUGGUCUGAGAGGAUGAUCAGCCACAUCGGGACUGAGACACGGCCCGAACUCCUACGGGAGGCAGCAGUGGGGAAUAUUGGACAAUGGGGGCAACCCUGAUCCAGCCAUGCCGCGUGUGUGAAGAAGGCCCUCGGGUUGUAAAGCACUUUCAGUGAGGAAGAAGGCUUGUCGGUUAAUACCCGGCAAGAAAGACAUCACUCACAGAAGAAGCACCGGCUAACUCCGUGCCAGCAGCCGCGGUAAUACGGAGGGUGCGAGCGUUAAUCGGAAUUACUGGGCGUAAAGCGUGCGUAGGCGGCUUGAUAAGCCGGUUGUGAAAGCCCCGGGCUCAACCUGGGAACGGCAUCCGGAACUGUCAGGCUAGAGUGCAGGAGAGGAAGGUAGAAUUCCCGGUGUAGCGGUGAAAUGCGUAGAGAUCGGGAGGAAUACCAGUGGCGAAGGCGGCCUUCUGGACUGACACUGACGCUGAGGUACG